rnacentral:rRNA from 1 species
GACGAACGCUGGCGGCGUGCUUAAUACAUGCAAGUCGAACGGAAAGGCCCUGCUCUUGUGGGGUGCACGAGUGGCGAACGCGUGAGUAUAACGUGAGUAACCUGCCCUUAUUUUGGGGGUAACUUCAGGAGACACGGGAGAUAACGGGGGAGAAGUUCCUGAGCCAGAGGGUUGGUUGGUAAGUGUCGGCGGUGGGGGCUCUUCUAGCGGGUUCCGCGCUUGUGGGGGAGGUAGGGGCUGACCAAGCCUUUGACGGGUAGGCGGCCUGGGAGGCUGACCGGCCACAUGAGGACUGAGAUACGGACCAGACUCCUACGGGAGGCAGCAGUGGGGAAUAUUGCACAAUGGCCGGAAGCCUGAUGCAGCAACGCCGCGUGCGUGAUGACGGCUUUCGGGUUGUAAACCGCUUUCGCCUGUGACGAAGCGUGAGUGACGGUAAUUGGUAAAGAAGCACCGGCUAACUACGUG